rnacentral:rRNA from 1 species
AUGAUCACCACUUUCUGGAAAUUCUAUCGAGUUCUCCCGGAGCACAGGGCCAGAGCGGACCAGAUCGUGUUGCGCCAAUGCAAGAAGAAGGCCCGCCAGAUGCAGUACGAGGUGCGCUAUGUGGCCAUCUCGACAUACCAUCAUGACUAUCUUGGUGUGAAGCUGCCCAAGGAAGACACGCGGAGGAUGGGCAUUACCUUGGAUAGGGACGAGUUCUUGAAGGUGUUACCAAAUUGGUGUUAUGGAAAAGACGAGUUCUGGGCGGCAUUGGUGGAUCUUUGGUGUGAUGAGGCUGGAGCCUGGGCGGCUAUGAGAGUCAAAAACAAGGCUAACCGAGGGAAGGAGGGAGUACAUCCUCAGGGAAAACGAAACCACUAUCUCCAUAAGGCAGUUAAUGAGAAGAAACUGAAGCGGCCGCUCUCACACAUGCAGGCGUGGGAGAUUGCCCAUACGCGGAAGGACCCCAAGCCUGGCGAGCCCAAGUACUACGGCAAGAAGACCGCGCAUAGGAAGAAGGCCUACUCCGAUGGUAUCUGGCGUUACAUCCUGACACACGUGACCCCAUUGCGGCGGAUCUGGACGAAAGGGUGGUGGUGGGCAUGGGGCCGAAGGAGCACGGUCGGGAGGCGGUUCUCGAUGCUGUGA